rnacentral:RNase_P_RNA from 2 species
GGAGCUGGCUGGACAGUCGCGUCAUUCGCAAGAAUGCCGAGGAAAGUCCGGGCUCCACAGGGCACGGUGCCAGGUAACGCCUGGGCGGCGCGAGCCGACGGCCAGUGCAACAGAAAGCAAACCGCCGAUGGCCACACCUUUCGGGUGCGGAUCAGGCAAGGGUGAAAUGGUGCGGUAAGAGCGCACCGCGAGUCUGGCAACAGACCGGCACGGUAAACCCCACCGGGAGCAAGACCGAAUAGGGACCUCAUGACGCUGCCCGCGUCGGGUCCGGGUAGGUUGCUUGAGCGUAUCGGUGACGAUGCGCCUAGAGGAAUGACUGUCCACGACAGAACCCGGCUUACAGGCCGGCUCCGCCA